GCGUAAUUUCAUUGGUAAAUAACUAUAUAUAUUUUUUUUUCUUUUCCUCAAAGAGCGACGCAUUGCGGGAUACAUAAAAUACCGCACGUUCAUUCCUUUGUUUGUCCUUUCUGUCCUUAUGGCUGUCCUUAUGGUUAAUUAGAUUUUUUAAGUGUACAUUUUGUACAAUUCUUGCCAAAUUUCUUUAAAACUGAUAACGUAUUGACACGUUCGAAAAAUCAGUGCGUGUUAAAAGAGAUAUGCCAUUUGGAAAUAUUAAUUAUAUUGGAAAUUGCAUUCUAUUUGCUGUCAUUCCGUAAUUUCUCUAAUAUAUUUG
rnacentral:lncRNA from 1 species